GCCUCAUUGGCUCAGGGGCAGUGCGUCUGUCUUGAAAACAGAAGGUCCCUGGUUCGAUUCCAGAAUAAGGCA
rnacentral:tRNA from 1 species